CGACCGGCGCACGGGUGAGUAACACGUAUCCAACCUGCCGUCUACUCUUGGACAGCCUUCUGAAAGGAAGAUUAAUACAAGAUGGCAUCAUGAGUCCGCAUGUUCACAUGAUUAAAGGUAUUCCGGUAGACGAUGGGGAUGCGUUCCAUUAGUUUGUUGGCGGGGUAACGGCCCACCAAGACUACGAUGGAUAGGGGUUCUGAGAGGAAGGUCCCCCACAUUGGAACUGAGACACGGUCCAAACUCCUACGGGAGGCAGCAUG
rnacentral:rRNA from 1 species